CACUCCUACGGGAGGCAGCAGUGGGGAAUAUUGCACAAUGGGCGCAAGCCUGAUGCAGCCAUGCCGCGUGUAUGAAGAAGGCCUUCGGGUUGUAAAGUACUUUCAGCGGGGAGGAAGGCAAUACGGUUAAUAACCGUGUUGAUUGACGUUACCCGCAGAAGAAGCACCGGCUAACUCCGUGCCAGCAGCCGCGGUAAUACGGAGGGUGCAAGCGUUAAUCGGAAUUACUGGGCGUAAAGCGCACGCAGGCGGUCUGUCAAGUCGGAUGUGAAAUCCCCGGGCUCAACCUGGGAACUGCAUUCGAAACUGGCAGGCUUGAGUCUUGUAGAGGGGGGUAGAAUUCCAGGUGUAGCGGUGAAAUGCGUAGAGAUCUGGAGGAAUACCGGUGGCGAAGGCGGCCCCCUGGACAAAGACUGACGCUCAGGUGCGAAAGCGUGGGGAGCAAACAGGAUUAGAUACCCCAGUAGUC
rnacentral:rRNA from 1 species